CGUAUAUUAAAGUUGUUGCAGUUAAAAAGCUCGUAGUUGGAUUUGUGGAUGGGNCGUCCGGUGUGCUCUUUUGAGCGUUACUUGGGCAGCUCGUCCAUCCUUGGGUGGAAUCUGUGUGGCAUUAAGUUGUCGUGCAGGGGAUGCCCAUCUUUUACUGUGAAAAAAUUAGAGUGUUCAAAGCAGGCUUAUGCCGUUGAAUAUAUUAGCAUGGAAUAAUGAGAUAGGACCUUGGUACUAUUUUGUUGGUUUGCGCACCGAGGUAAUGAUUAAUAGGGACAGUUGGGGG
rnacentral:rRNA from 1 species